rnacentral:rRNA from 1 species
CUCGCCUGCCCAGUGACAAUUGUUAAAUGGCCGCGGUAUUUUAACCGUGCUAAGGUAGCGCAAUCACUUGUCUUCUAAAUACGGACCAGUAUGAAUGGUGAGACGAGGGCUUAACUGUCUCCUUUUUCCAGUCAAUGAAACUGAUCUCCCCGUGCAGAAGCGGGGAUAAUUACAUUAGACGAGAAGACCCUGUGGAGCUUAAGACUUCAAAGUGGACCAUACAGCGUUUAGAGCAGACCCCGUGGAACCCACCUCUUUGUCUUUGGUUGGGGUGACCCUGGGGAAAAACAAAACCCCCGAGCGGAAUAGGAGCCUUAAUCCCAAAUCUUUUUUUUACGAUACUCCUUUAUAACCCGAGAAACCUCUCAAGUAACCAGAAUAUCUGACCCAAUUGAUCCAGCACAAGCCGAUCAACGAAUCAAGUUACCCCAGGGAUAACAGCGCAAUCCCCUCCUAGAGUUCCUAUCGACGAGGGGGUUUACGACCUCGAUGUUGGAUCAGGGCAUCCUAAUGGUGUAAUAAU